CUUGAAUAAUUUUACAUGUCCUUAUCCCACUCUCCCCUCUCUUACGUGACUUCUUGGUAUUAACAUGUUUAUUAGGAAGAUCAAGUUGGUAGGAAUUGAGAGUGUAACAAUGUAAUGUUUGGGCAGAGCAGAGUUUGGAAAAAUCACUGUGACACUAAUGACUGCUCGCCAAGGACACUACCGUAGGAUCUCAACAUACUGAGCUUAUGCUGGAAUGCGGCAAACAACUGGGCUUUUGUUGAAAACUUCCUCCCCUUGAUUGGGACACUGCCUCACUUGUUUGAGGUUAUCACAGAAGACGUGCCGUGUGGAAACACAAACAUGUUUGAGUGGAGACUAAACCUGUGCUCCAGGUUAAUCGACUGUCAUUUGGGUUAGAUGCCUGGUCUGCAUCUUUGUAAGCAACUAGAGAAAGGGGGUGAUGAAGUUGCUCUGGUUGAAGCAGAAGUCAUGAUACUUAUUUUGUUUAAGCAUGGUUGUAGGUCCACUCAAUUGCAACAUGUUUCUUAGCUUUGGGAUGACUUCAUCAUUGGGCUGCGAAGCAGAUGGUGUUUUAUUUUGUAUAGCAUAUAUGGAGGCAUAUUGACGUUUCAGCCACUAGACAGGCAGCAUUGAAAAAUGUUCAUUAGAGUUUCUGUUGGAUUUGCUUCAAUAACAUAGUAUUCUGAGGGAUAUGGAAUGCACAAAAGAAUAAAUAGAUCAAGGGUUUCAGUUUGACAUGUUCAGAGUGUUGUGUUUAUUCUUCUUUCAGUUUCAACUUUCAUAUACACCUCCUGUACAUUUUGUAUGGAAGAUAUUUCUGGUUGUAUUUAUAAGAAGAACACCUUGACUUGGUAGUUGGCACAGUGCUUAUCAAUCUUCUCGAUUUCGGCGAGACAACAUGAAGAUUGCAUGGUAUAAGAUGUUUUACCUUCUAAAACAUGGUUUCAAGAUGACUGAUUUGGUAGUUCUAAGAAGAUUCUAGCUUUGGCAUUUCAAUUUGAGAUCCAUAAUUACCAUUUUGGUAAUAAACUAGUGUAGGCUACUAGGUAACCACACUGAUUUUUAGAGAGUGAGAGAUCACUUAAGUUUCAUAGUAGAUGUGUGUUCCUCGUCAAGACUGUUAUACCAAAUAUAUACUACAAGGUGUAAAUAACAUGACCUGAAAAUUAGUCUUUGUUUUGAGUAUUGACAAGGAAAUCAGGGUAGGGAGAAUUUCAAGUCUGUCAAAAUACCUUGACAUUGUUUGUUGUAAUUUGUCUUUGUAUUCUCUUAUUUGCUGGUUGGAAGUCCCAUUGGUAGUAAAACCAUUCAUUAUCUAAAACAAUCCUUCAAUGAAACAUCAUUUUUUUUCAA